rnacentral:rRNA from 1 species
AGUGGACGCAUCACUGGUGUUCGGGUUGUCAUGCCAAUGGCACUGCCCGGUAGCUAAAUGCGGAAGAGAUAAGUGCUGAAAGCAUCUAAGCACGAAACUUGCCCCGAGAUGAGUUCUCCCUGACUCCUUGAGAGUCCUGAAGGAACGUUGAAGACGACGACGUUGAUAGGCCGGGUGUGUAAGCGCAGCGAUGCGUUGAGCUAACCGGUACUAAUGAGCCGUGAGGCUUAACCUUACAACGCCGAAG